CAGACCGAACGCUGGCGGCAGSCCUAACACAUGCAAGUCGAGCGCGCCUUUCGGGGUGAGCGGCGGACGGGUUAGUAACGCGUGGGAAUAUACCCUUAUCUACGGAAUAGCCUCUGGAAACGGAGAGUAAUACCGUAUGAGCCCUUCGGGGGAAAGAUUUAUCGGGAAAGGAUUAGCCCGCGUUAGAUUAGGUAGUUGGUGGGGUAAUGGCCUACCAAGCCUACGWUCUAUAGCUGGUUUUAGAGGAUGAUCAGCAACACUGGGACUGAGACACGGCCCAGACUCCUACGGGAGGCAGCAGUGGGGAAUCUUGGACAAUGGGGGCAACCCUGAUCCAGCCAUGCCGCGUGAGUGAUGAAGGCCUUAGGGUCGUAAAGCUCUUUCGCCUGUGAAGAUAAUGACGGUAGCAGGUAAAGAAACCCCGGCUAACUCCGUGCCAGCAGCCGCGGUAAUACGGAGGGGGUUAGCGUUGUUCGGAAUUACUGGGCGUAAAGCGCACGUAGGCGGACUGGAAAGUUGGGGGUGAAAUCCCAGGGCUCAACCCUGGAACUGCCUCCAAAACUAUCAGUCUAGAGUUCGAGAGAGGUGAGUGGAAUUCCGAGUGUAGAGGUGAAAUUCGUAGAUAUYUKGGAGGAACACCAGUGGCGAAGGCGGCUCUACUGG
rnacentral:rRNA from 1 species